ACCGUGAUCCUAAUUAAAAAAAAAAAAAAAAAGACAAAGUACCUUUGUGUUCAGAAUCCUGGUUCUUUGCUAGUGUAAAUAAUCGUUUCCUUUCCCUCUCCUUUGUAUAUCUUUCUUCUUCUGAGCCAACACAGGUAAGGAACUGGCAGUGGGAUCCUGUUCCUUAUGAUAUCAGCAGGAGCUACAUAAAUCCUAACCAUGUUCAUCUGCACAGCCCCACUGAGAGCAUUGUGGGCACAAGGCGGUCCCCUGGAUCAUUAUCAACAGGAAUGACUAGGGGGCAAGUAUCUGUCAGAAACUGUGUGAAUAAUCAAUGUUUUUUUAGGCAGGGGAUGCACUGGAUGAUCUCCCAAAGUCCCUUCCAGCACUCUUCCAGCACCAGAAUAUGUGAUAACAUGAGGAGAAAAGGACCCCAGCUUGGUUUUCUAAGUCAGCUCUUUGCAGGACUCCAAAAAUCAACUAAGGAAAAAAGCAUCCUUCCGCCUGCAAGCAAAGUUCAUUGGUUAAAUGUAAACCCCUUGACCUCAUCAUUUUUUCCAUGUAUCCAUUAUAUAUCUGCCUGUGGUGCACCACUCCACCGCCAGGACCAAAAGAACAAUGUAUGAAACGCUUCUGCCAAAGUAGCACCACAUUCGUUGGUAACAGGCAAUUCUAGGCCACGCAGAUUUAUUUGUCCUUCUCUUGCUAAGACUGCUUUCUCUCCUAGAAAAUCACAUUAAUCAUGCUGUCAGAUAUUUUGUCAGGGUUUCUGAUGGGAAAACCUAGAGAAGAGCUCAUGGUUAUCAUUGCCACUAAUGGAGCUUGUCCUGCAGGAGAGCUGGAGGCAUUAGGUCAUGGAUCAGGUGCUGCGCAGCAUGCUGCGAAAUGUGGAUCACAUCCCGUGUUUUCCCCCAUAGAUUUUGUCUUCUGAAUAGAAAAUGUCUUUUUUCUUUGUCAGUCUUCAUCAGGACAGAGUACUUGACUGGACUGGAAAUGUUAUACAACAAGAAUCACCCUUUUUGUUAAUAUUUACAUUUAUAUAAAAGUCAGACCAAUGAUGUCCAUGCCACUGUUUGUGACUGUGCCACAAAUUCUUCCAGUUACUGUGUAUGUGUAAUCAAUAGUUUUACUUUGAUCUUAUUGUUAUUAUGUAUGACUUGAUAUGUACAAUCCUCAUCAUUGCUUCCAGGUUUAUUUCUUAAAGAACAGUGAAUUGCUUUGAACAUUGCACCUAAGUCUAAAAUAAUGAGUGAGUAUUAAUGGGCUGUGGUUUUUGUUUAUGUAUAUACAGCGUGCGGUUUUCACACUGGCUGAGUGUAUUUCACUUUUAUACUACACAUUUUUAAUACAUUUUCAGCCACAGAGGAUUUAAUACCACUUUACAGCAGUCUUGUCUGAACCCUCAGAUUAAGCUGAAAAGGUGCUGGGAAAUAUUGAAAAAGAGGAAAAAAUAGAAACGUACAGAUGCUCAUCAUUACCUUACUGCAGGUUGCUACAAAAAGUUAAAUAAACGGAAAAACACUUUUCUUUUUUUUUUGGUA
rnacentral:lncRNA from 1 species